rnacentral:rRNA from 1 species
UACAGAGGGUGCAAGCGUUAAUCGGAAUUACUGGGCGUAAAGCGUGCGUAGUCGGUUUAUCUAAGUCGGGUGUGAAAUCCCCGGGCUCAACCUGGGAAUUUGCAUUCGAUACUGGAUAGCUAGAGUUUCGGCAGAGGGAAGCGGAAUUUCUGGUGUAGCGGUGAAAUGCGUAGAUAUCAGAAGGAACAUCAGUGGCGAAAGCGGCUUUCCUGGACCAGAACUGACGAUCAGGCACGAAAGCGUGGGGAGCAAACAGG